GUGCUACUUGUGAUAACAGUCAUUCAGUGAAUCAAAUUUUGGAUCAUCCCCAGUUAUUCACUCAGAUAUACAAUCUUGUAGGAUGCCCGGUGAAACUGGAAUCACUUCUCAAAUACUGAGUGCUCAUAAUAUCUGUAUUCAAGAUCGUAACAAUCUCCCACUUUUGCUUCCCAACGAUCCUGUGAGCAAGACAAAGUACACAAGUUUCACCGAAUUCUUAAUGACCCCCAUUGUGACCUCUGUGGAAAGGUUAAAGAGCAGGACUCUCAUGCAAUUAAGCGAUGAAGAAGUGCAACUACCUACGAUAUAAAUGGGUAGAAGCUAAUUGCCUUCCAUGAAUAUGUAUGCUAAGCUGAUGUAUCUUAUGACCCUUUUGGAACUGGAUUGGAACAAUGUAAUACUAAAAUGAUUGUUUUACUUUUAUAUUAGAUAGUAGUUUGAGAAUUGCAAUCAAUGCAGAAUAGUUUUACACCUUUUACUUCUA